GACGAACGCUGGCGGCGUGCCUAAUACAUGCAAGUCGAGCGGACUGAAUGGGAGCUUGCUCUUGUUCGGUCAGCGGCGGACGGGUGAGUAACACGUGGGCAACCUGCCCGCAAGACCGGGAUAACUCCGGGAAACCGGAGCUAAUACCGGAUAACACCGACGACCGCAUGGACUUUGGGUGAAAGGCGGCGCAAGCUGCCGCUUGCGGAUAGGCCCGCGGCGCAUUAGCUAGUUGGGGAGGUAAAGGCACACCAAGGCGACGAUUCGGAGCCGGCCUGAGAAGGAUACCGGCCACACUGGGACUGAGACACGGCCCAAAACCCUACGGGGGGCAGGAGGAGGGAAUCUUCCGAAAUUGGCGGAAGGCUUGCGGAGGGACGCCGGGGGAGCUAAGAAGGCCUUCGGGUUGGAAAGGUCUGUUUGUAGGGACGAAAGAGCGCCGGUUGAAGAAGGCGGCGCUGUGACGGUACCUAACGAGGAAGCCCCGGCUAACUACGUG
rnacentral:rRNA from 1 species